rnacentral:lncRNA from 1 species
CGGGUAAGAUCAUUGGCUUCUUUGGACGUGCAGGCACCAUGAUUGAUGCCAUCGGAGUUUACCUCGCACCUAACUAGACCUCUUCGAGUGCUGCUGCUGCUGCUGCAGCUACUCUACGUUGGGGUGCUUCAAUAAAUGAUCGAGGCAUGCUGUUAGCUACUUGGACGUCAUGAAUUGUUACCGUCGUCGUCGUUGUCGUCGUCGUCGUCGCUAGGGUGGCUGUGAUCAUGAAUAAAACAAAUAAAGAUGCAGUUUGAUACGUUUCGACUGAUCAUAUGCUUAUAUUAGCUUUCCAUUUCAUGUGUUCUCUUAUGAUAGUUAAUUCACAUCAAAAAUCCUCCCGGCCAAAGUAAAUGAAGGAUCGAUCAUGUGCAAUUGUUUGCAUGGUUGUCGUCCUUUGAC